rnacentral:lncRNA from 1 species
GUAGUCACUGUAAUGAAUUACAAAUAUACGAUCCAUAAGCGGUAUCUAAUACUCAAGUAUCAAAAUCUGAGUCACUUAAUGAAAAAUAGAUUUGUAUCAUAUACAUACCUUUUGGUGCUAUAUUUGCAUCCUGCUUCCAACUUGCAAGAUUAUUCUUGCAAUUAUACUCCCAAUGUCCAAACUUGCCAUAAAAUAAAUAGCUAAUAUCCAUAUAGAUAUCUUUUGCCUUCUCAUUAUUACUGACCAUCCCA